rnacentral:rRNA from 1 species
GACGAACGCUGGCGGCGUGCUUAACACAUGCAAGUCGAACGAGGGCUCAGAGCUUGCUCUGAUGACCCGAGUGGCGAACGGGUGAGUAACACGUGACCAACCUGUCCUAGGGGUGAGGGACAACCCGGGGAAAACCUGGGCUAAUACCGCAUGAUGUCUCGUUAAUCACAUGUUAAUGAGAUCAAAGAGGGCCUCUGCUUGCAUGCUCUCGCCCAAGGAGGGGGUCGCGACGUAUCAGUUUGUUGGUGGGGUGAUGGCCUACCAAGACUACGACGCGUAGCGGAUCUGAGAGGAUGAUCCGUCACAUUGGGACUGAGAUACGGCCCAG